GCCCAGACCACCAGCUAAGGUCCCAAAAUAUAUGUUAAGUGGAAAAGGAUGUGGCGUUGCCCAGACAACUAGGAUGUUGGCUUAGAAGCAGCCAUCAUUUAAAGAGUGCGUAAUAGCUCACUAGUCGAGUGACACUGCGCCGAAAAUGUACCGGGGCUAAACAUAUUACCGAAGCUGUGGAUUGUCCUUUGGACAAUGGUAGGAGAGCGUUCUAAGGGCGUUGAAGCAUGAUCGUAAGGACAUGUGGAGCGCUUAGAAGUGAGAAUGCCGGUGUGAGUAGCGAAAGACGGGUGAGAAUCCCGUCCACCGAUUGACUAAGGUUUCCAGAGGAAGGCUCGUCCGCUCUGGGUUAGUCGGGUCCUAAGCUGAGGCCGACAGGCGUAGGCGAUGGAUAACAGGUUGAUAUUCCUGUACCACCUAUAAUCGUUUUAAUCGAUGGGGGGACGCAGUAGGAUAGGCGAAGCGUGCGAUUGGAUU
rnacentral:rRNA from 1 species